AAGUCUUAUAUUCAAAUAAUGAUAUAAAAUUGCAAAUUUUAAGUUAUAACUAAUUUAUGUUAUUAAGGCUU
rnacentral:tRNA from 1 species